ACUUUUCUUAGUAAACAUUGAUUUGAUUUGAUUUUUUUGUUCAUGGAUGUACGCUAUUUUGUGAGAAAUAGAAUAUGUGAUAUCAGUGUUCUAAAAUUUUCAUUACACACCGGCUGUAAAUUAAUAAUGCAAGUUUAAGAUUGUUUUCAAUACGAACCUGAAUGCUUGUGUUGCCCAAGGAAAUAAAAGAUUCAUAUCCAUGAUUCCAUCUGUAUUGAAUCUUAAUGCAAGUUGAAAAUAUGUAGUCAUAACUGAGUGUAGGUCCACUAGCUUUUGAUGAAUAUCAUUCCUUGGAUUCUACAUUUCCCUUAAUUGUGAUGUUUUUUUGAAUUUUUCUUAUAAAUGUUUUAAAUUAUUUUAUCUUUGAUUUAUCAUAAAUAUUUUGAAAUUAUUAUGAUGUCUUGUUUCAUUGAAUUCCACAGUUUCAUUGGAAAGAAAUAUCAGCACUGUUGCCUGUUCAAUGGUAUGCUUUGUGCCUGGGUUUAUUUGCAUCAAUUAUAUCACCAUAGCAGUUAUUUUUUGCAAGUGGCUUGAAGAGAGCUUUUCAAAUUAAGGAUUUUGGUGAUAGUAUAUUCCUGGACGUGGUGGGUUUACUGACAGAAUGGACUGUCAGUUGCUUGAAGCGGCCUGGUGUUUUACAAACAUAGCGGCAGGAAAGCCAGAAGAAACUAAAGCUUUGUUGACUGCUUUACCAUUGCUCAUUGCUCAUCUUGGAGGUUGAUGAUGGUUUCUGCAUUUUCCAUUCAAUGUGAAAGAAUGUAAAUGGUUCUUUCUUUUUCUUAUCAGAAAAAGUAAAUGCUUUUUCUUUUUCUUCUUCUUUUUGUGUGUAGUAUUUUUUUCUUUCUCCAUUUCCUCUGGCUUUCUGAGACCUAAGAGUGACUGACAGUAAUUAAAGAUAUCAGGUUAAGUACUAUACGUUGAAAUUGGAUUACGUAACCACAAGUAUGUCCAUUUUUGGAUCAUUGAACUGCUGUUUUUGUGGAAUAGCACUAUUAUUGAGUUGGGUGAAGUAGUGACGGUUAGGGUGGAAUAGCACUAUUAUUGAAGUCUCCAAAGUAUGCAUUGCUCAUUGCUCAUCUUGGAUUA